rnacentral:rRNA from 1 species
GAAGUCUAACAUGUGCGCGAGUCAUUGGGCUCCUAUUCGAAACCCAAAGGCUUAAUGAAAGUGAAGGAAGCUUCGCUUUCCUAGGGAGGAUGGCCGUGUCUGCCCAAAAGGCGGCGGUCCGCACUCCCGGGGCGUCUCUUUCUCAUUGCGAGUGGAGGCGCACCCAGAGCGUACACGUUAGGACCCGAAAGAUGGUGAACUAUGCCUGGUCAGGACGAAGCCAGGGGAAACCCUGGUGGAGGUCCGUAGCGAUUCUGACGUGCAAAUCGAUCGUCAGAGCUGGGUAUAGGGGCGAAAGACUAAUCGAACCAUCUAGUAGCUGGUUCCCUCCGAAGUUUCCCUCAGGAUAGCUGGUGCCCGCGGGUAACGAGUCUCAUCCGGUAAAGCGAAUGAUUAGAGGCAUUGGGGCCGAAACGACCUCAACCUAUUCUCAAACUUUAAAUAGAUGAGAACUCCGGCUUGCUUGAAAGUGAAGCCGGAGACUCGGAUCAGGGUGCCCAGUGGGCCAAUUUUG